CAGAGGAAUUAGCUUAUCAGAGUAACUAGUUGGCACCUUAACAGGCAUGCAGAAUCUGACUCAGGAACAGAGACUCAAGAGAACUAAGGUGCAGUAGGAAGCAGGUGGCAGAGUGAAGAUGUUAAAGCCAAAGUGGGAGCUCAAAACCUGCCUAACAUUCCACAGAAUAUAGUUGAAAGGAGUAGCUAGGACCACAGCAAGAUUGAAGAUGCAGAGUACUGAGCCCUCCACCUGCAAAUGCAUACAGCCAUGAACAGAUGGG
rnacentral:lncRNA from 10 species